CUGUCCUUCUCCACGAAGUCGAUGAAGGACGUGCGCUCGAUCUCCACGGGCUGCCCCUGCCGGUCGUACAUGGCCAGCACGAAGUGGAAGAAGUUGGAUUUCCGCAGCUGCCCUGAGUGAACCGGCCCCCAGAGACCACCACAGACCCCUGCUACGAGCCGGUGCGGGAGAGCCCAGGAGAGCCAGCGGCUGCUGCUGAGGCACGUCGAAGAUGCCAGAACGCAGGACUGAGCUAGACGCGGCACAUCCUGCCCCACGGCCUGGCAGCCCUGGCUUUCCCGGGGGAGCACCAGCCACCAGCGCUGUGACCCCCGGCACCCCGCAUUCAGCACUGCCAGCUCCGGUGCCUCUGAAAGCUGGAGGAGCUCAGUCCUACUCCGGCUGCUGCCACCAGUUUCCAGGCAGCCUUGGCGAGCAGAGAAGUAAGAGCUGCGCGGUCACAAGGGCCUUGCGCCUGGAGGCAGAGCCCCCCACGGAGCUGAACCCCAUCC